AUCUUGACAUAGCGGGCCAGGCCAGCGAGAGCCACUCUGCGCGCCGCAGCUACGCCGAACGGUCAACCACCACGAGACUACGGCCGCAUCGUGCGCUCUUUUACGCCUUCCUCCAAGUCCUUCCACUUCUUGCACACCAAGUACAAUCCGUACCCGUACGAACUGCAAUGGCUCCCAUCAUACCACAAUAACAACAGAAGUUGUCAAGUAAAAGAACCGCCGAAGAAGAAGAGGUCUCCUUCGGUUGUUCGACUACUUCUUCUUCGUAUUCUUCGUUUUUCGGCAAAACGGUUCUUUCAUUUCGUUUUUUUCUCAUUCUUUUUCGUGUUUUAGUUUUUAUUUUUUUUUAAGUUUUUAAUUCCUUUCGGUUGAGUCGGUUCGGUUUGAAACUUCGGUUGGCUUUUCGCGACGUAUACGACGAGAUGGGACCACGAAGAGGCCCUAAAGGACUGCAGACUUUGUGCUUUUGUGCCACUGUGGUGCUGCUGUUGGUCUUCUCGUUGGCUACAACCAUCAACGCUGCUGCUGACUCACAGGGAGAUGCAGAUUUAGUAUUCGACAAUUUAGACAUCAAACCACAUAGUAAUCACAAAACAUUAGCUUCAGACAUCCCAAAUGAAUCAGGUUGGAUAUCCAGUGGUUUCCAUAGAAUCAAAAGACAAUUGUUUGAUUUUUUUAAAACAAGGGAAGAUACCAAUGAAGGAGAUAACACAAUAGAUCAUGCUCAUCAUGAAUACUCAAAUUAUAAUCAUAAUAAUGAUGAAGUAACAGAUGAUGAAGAUAUCGCUGCCUUCUCCGGUGAUGGUUCUGGAGAUGUCGACCCAAGUGACCAUGUCAUUUACUUUAGAAUAACACUUAACGUAAACGAACCGUUCGAUUUUCAACUCGAGGACCACAACACUGAAGAAUUUAAAGCCAUGCAAAAAGAUUUAAGUGCCAGUAUUGAAGAUUUAUACAAAGAUUUACCCGGAUCUAGGCAUGUCAUGUUAAUUUCCGCUCAACAUGGUUUCGAUGAUUUCCAUACAAAAGUCACCCUGGAUUUAGAAAGUGCUGGUUAUUCUCAAUACAACGUUUUAGAAGAGCGUCUUUUAGCUAGAGUCAAACGAAAUCCCCGUUUAGGAAAUUUCGUUAUAUCUGAAAACGAAUUUUCAUUCACUAAAUUUGAUGCGCACGAAGAAACCACAAUUACAGACUACAGCAAUGAGGUUGAUCCUGAAGUCGAUCCAGAGGAUCCAUAUGAUGAUAAAAAUGAAUUCAUUACAACAACAACAACUUCGACAACAACAACUACAACAACCACCACAACGACAACGACCACCGAAGUUCCUACAACUACCACUUCUACUGAACCUUCAACUACACCCGCUAGAUGUCGAGCGGAUGAUGUUGUUAGAUGUGGAAACUCUUCGAUUUUCAUUUGUGGAGAUCAAGAGUGUGAUGGAAAGAAAGAUUGUCCUGAUGGAGAAGAUGAGUCAAAAUGCGAAGAAUCUCCGGAUUGUACUGAAGAUGAAUGGAGUUGCGAUACUCAUCGUUGUAUUCCAAGAACAUCUAGAUGCGAUGGAGUACAAGAUUGCACCGAUGGCACUGAUGAGAGAGAGUGUGUUACAGCACCACAAUGUCCUUCGGGUAAUUUUAUAUGCAACGAUGGUACGUGUCUCGACCAACUGUUCAGAUGUGAUAACUACAUUGAUUGUAACGACGGAGAAGAUGAAAAAGGAUGUUCAAAUUACGAUAGGCGGCGGAAAUUUGAGUGCGGGGAUGGCAAACGCAUACCGAUUGAGUGGAGGUGCAAUCAGAAAAACGAUUGCUCAGACUUUUCAGAUGAAAAAAAUUGUCCAUGUAAAGAAGACGAGUUUAUUUGCAAUAGCGGGUUCUGUAUCCCAAAACGAUUAAGAUGCGAUGGCACAUAUCAUUGUUCAGACCUAUCAGACGAAUUAGGAUGUGAUACUCCUUCGACAUCUCAACCUUCUACAUGUGAACACUACCAAUGGAGAUGUGCGGAUGGCACAUGCAUCGACCAAAUGCACAGAUGCGAUAGGAAACAUAAUUGCCCGGAUAAAUCCGACGAAAAAAAUUGCACAUGCAAAAAUGACGAAUUUCGUUGUAACUUUGGAACCUGCAUAAGUAUAAGUCAGAGAUGCGAUGGAGUCGGAGAUUGUCCAUUUUCUGAAGACGAGGAUUCUUGUGGUUGGAAAGUAAUACCAAACUCGACGUUUCCCAUGGAUUUACUAUGGGAAUGCGCGAACGGUGCAAAAACACUAAAAAUCCACAGAUGUGACGGUUACAAGGAUUGCGACGAUAACAGCGACGAAGAAAGUUGCGAAGAACCGGCAUACAAGCCAAAAGAAUACGAUAACGGAGUUGAAUGUAAAGAAUCUGAAAUAAGAUGCAACGAUAGAACGUGCGUUUUUGGCAAAAGAUGCGAUAGUUACGUAGAUUGUCCUGAUGGCGAAGAUGAAGAGAAUUGUACAGGAGUCUGUGCAAUGGAUCAAUUUAAAUGCACCAAUAGCGGAGAGUGUAUUGAUGAAGAUAAACGUUGCGAUUUGUACCCCGAUUGUUCCGAUAAAUCCGAUGAAGAAAAUUGCGUUCAAUGUCCCUACGACCACUUCAGAUGUGGAAAUGGAGUUUGCAUCAUAUACAAACGCUAUUGUGACGGAAUACCAGAUUGUCCUGAUCAUUCCGAUGAAAAGAACUGCAGUGUUAAAGUUUGCAAAGAUGAUGAGUUCAGAUGCAAAGACGGUCACUGUAUUCCGUAUCAUCUUGUAUGCGAUGGAAUUAAUCAAUGUAGCGAUCAUUCUGAUGAAGAUGGUUGCGAAAAACCGUUUGAAUGUCCAUACGGGGAAUUAAAAUGUAAAGAGAGCAAUACUUGUUUCCGAAAUGAACAACGUUGCGAUGGAUAUAAUAAUUGUGACGAUGGAACUGAUGAAGAAGGAUGUCCACCUAAAGGUACUCAUUGCCGUCCCGAACAAUUCCGAUGCGAUGACGGAACUUGUAUUCACAAACAGUUGCGAUGUGAUAGUUCGUGGGAUUGCCCGGAUCACAGUGAUGAAAAAUAUUGCGAGCCUUCAUGUCGUCCCGAUGAGUUUGCUUGCGAUGAUGGACAAUGUAUUCCACAUUACAUGAGAUGUGACAACAGACAGGAUUGCAGUGAUAACUCUGAUGAGAAGAGCUGCCCACAAGUUACUACACCUCCACCUCGAAUUCACUGUCCAUAUGGGGAGCUUUUCUGCAGAGACAGGCAAGGUUGUUACAGACAAGACCAACAAUGCGAUGGCCAUUAUGACUGUGUUGAUGAAACAGAUGAAAUUUCUUGUGGGAAUCCAGGAGUUCAUUUGAAAACCUAUCCAAGUUCUCAAGACAUCAAAGAAAGUACUUUUAAGCUGGGUAGAGAAGUCGUCUUUCAAUGCAGAGAUGAAGGACCUUUAAGAGCAAGAGUACACUGGAUAAGAGGAAACGGGCUGCCUCUUCCACCUCAUUCAAGAGAUAUAAAAGGAAGAUUGGAGAUACCAAAUAUUCAACUAAGUCAUAGCGGACCGUAUAUUUGUGAGCCUGCUCAAGAAGCUUUAAGAACGCCUGGUGCGAGAGCCGAAGUACAACUUAAAGUUGAACCUCUGAUAUCGACACCACCACCUCCGCAACCCAUAGCGUGUCAACUGCACGAGGCCACGUGUAGCAACGGAGACUGUAUUCCAAGGGAAUUAGUUUGCGAUGGAAAUUUCGAUUGCAAAGAUGGAACCGAUGAAACUCGAUGCAGUCAAUACUCUUGCGAACCGAACGAAUUCCGUUGUGCCAAUAAACAAUGUGUUUUAAAAACGUGGCUUUGCGAUGGCGAAAACGAUUGUCAUGACGGUUCUGAUGAAUCUAAUUGUGAACCAUCACUUCCUGGACAAGCUUGUACCAACAAACAAUUCGCUUGUAAUUCCGGAAAUCAAUGUAUACCAAGAAGUUUCCAUUGCGAUCACCAAAGAGAUUGUCAAGAUGGUUCUGAUGAAUUUGGAUGUUCCCGCGUUAUUAUUUUAAGACCACCACCACCUAGAGUGGAAUUACAUGUUGGAUCGAGAUUUGAAAUUAGUUGUACUGCAGUAGGAAUUCCAACUCCAGAAAUAGUUUGGCGUCUAAAUUGGGGACACAUCCCAGAAAAAUGUCGUACAAGAAGCGUGAAUGGUACUGGGACAUUAAUAUGCGAUGAUAUUCAAGAACACGACCAAGGAGCUUAUUCUUGCGAAGCUAUUAAUCAAUUUGGACCAGUUUUUGCUACUCCCGAUACAAUUUUAACGGUUAUUAGAGACGCUCAUGUUUGUCCAGUAGGGUUCUUUAAUGAUGAUGCUAGAAGAGAAGACGAUUGCAUUCCAUGCUUCUGUUUUGGAAUAACAACCAGUUGUAAAUCCGCCGAUCUAUUUAUUUAUCAAUUAAAUCCGCCAUUAAUUUCUUAUCAAACGCGUGGCGUUCAUGUUGAUAGAGUAACAGGGCAACUUCAAAUUGAUCGAGACGAUCCAAGACAUAGCGAAACUCGAUUACAAUUAACCCCAACUCGAUUGAACACUGGAGUUAAACUUUAUCACACUCCCGCACAAGGAGAAGAAAACAUCAUCCCUUAUUUCGUGAUGCCUGAAAAUUAUAAUAGAAACCAAUUAAAGAGUUAUGGUGGUUAUUUGAGAUACAACGUGAGUUAUAAUGGAUAUGGAAGACCAACUUCUAAAGCUCCCGAUGCGAUUGUUGUCGGAAAUGGGUACACUUUGAUUCAUCCCAGUAAAGAACAUCAAGAUCGAUCAGAACACCAUCGAAAUAUUAAUUAUGAAAUUAGAUAUUUCCCUGGUGAAUGGUUUAUUCGAAAUCAAUACGGACAAGAUAUUCCCGCAAAGCGCGAAGAAAUUAUGAUGGUUUUAGCUAACAUUGAUUUUAUUUUAAUUAAACUGCAAUAUGUCGAGGGUCAUAUUGAUACAACUUUGGAUAAUAUUGGUAUGGAUUCUGCGGGACCAACUGGACAAGAUGAUGCAGUGUUUGUUGAAGAAUGUAGAUGCCCAGUUGGAUACAGUGGGUUAUCUUGUGAGCUUUGUGCACCUGGAUAUACCCGUCAUGAAAGCGGCGCUUGGCUAGGAAAAUGUUACAAAAUAGAAACUUGCGCUCCUGGAGAAUAUGGAGAUCCAAAUCGAGGAAUACCAUGCCGCCCAUGUCCUUGUCCACAUACUAACCCACCAAAUCAAUUUGGAAGAACAUGUUCGUUACAAUCUGAUGGUGACGUCAUCUGCGAUUGUCCAGCCGGUUACAUAGGAAAACGUUGCGACCAAUGCGCUUCAGGUUACACUGGAAAUCCUUUAGUCCCAGGAGAUACAUGCCGACCAAGUCUUUGCAAUCCAGAUGGAACAGCAGUAAUUGAACCAGAUGGUAGAUGCAGAUGCAAGGAAUUUACAACUGGACCAUCUUGUAACCAAUGUCAGAAAAAUUCAUUCCAUCUCAGCAGUGAUAAUCAAUUUGGAUGCAUAGCGUGUUUCUGCAUGGGAGUAACUCAACAAUGCUCAAGUUCAAAUUGGUACAGAGACGUGAUUCAAACUGCCUUCACAAGCUCAAAGAAUGAUUUUAAAAUCGUCGAUUUCCGCCAUAAAGAACAGCCAUCAGACCAUGGAAUUGAACUUCGUUACGACAGCCGAGAAAUUGUUUACACAAACUUUACUUCAAGUCCAGAAGUGAAAUAUUGGUACUUGCCAACCAGAUAUCUUGGAAAUAAAGUUACUGCUUACGGAGGAAAAUUAAAAUAUUCGUUGCGAUAUAAUCCGCUUCCAGGUGGCCUAAGUUCAAGAAAUACUUAUCCGGAUGUUGAACUUAUCAGCAAGAACCAUAUUAAAUUGUCUUAUUACCACAAACAAUCAAUCCAACCUAAUACCAUCCAAACUGUAUCUGUGCCGUUAUUGGAACAAUACUGGCAAAGAAAUGAUGGCCAAAAAACGUAUAGAGAACAUCUAUUAAUGGCUUUAGCUGAAUUGGAAGCUAUUUUGAUCAAGGCAACGUACACAACGAAUACCAGAGAAGUUGCUUUGCAAUCUGUAUCUUUGGAUAUAGCAGAUAGUAGAAAUACGGGUCUUCAAAGAGCCUUCGAAGUUGAACAAUGUCAUUGCCCACCUGGCUACAAAGGACUUUCAUGCGAACAUUGCGCAUAUGGAUAUAAAAGAACGACGGACGGAUUAUAUCUUGGACUUUGUGAACCUUGUUCAUGUAAUGGUUAUUCUAACGAAUGUGACCCCGAAACCGGACAUUGUUUGAACUGCAGAAAUCAUACCACAGGACCAGAAUGUGAAAGUUGUGCAGCUAGCUACUCUGGAGAUCCCAUCAAUAGAAUUCCAUGUCGAUAUGAUGGAGAUGUUGGUUGUAAUUGUGAUGCAAGAGGAUCUAUUAGUAGCUAUUGUUAUGGAGGAAGUUGUCGAUGCAAAACAAAUGUUGAAGGACAAACCUGCAACAGAUGUAAAGAAGGUACAUUCGGUUUGAGCGCUGAUCUACCUGACGGGUGCCAAUCUUGUUUCUGCGCUGGUGUUUCAUCGGAAUGUAGUGAAAGUAAUUUGUACGUGGAACAAAUUCCAAGCCAAAUUUUAGAUCCAUCUAGUAAUAACGGAUUUGUUUUAACUGAUCGUAACAUGCGUAAAAUCAUAUCAGAAAAUUUCCAAGCUGAUCUAUCUUUGAAUGAAAUCGCUUAUAUUUUCCGUCCAAGUGAAUCUGACCGUCUUUUCUGGUCCUUACCCAACACCUUCACUGGAAACAAAAUAAAAUCGUACGGGGGAAAAUUAGAAUUUACACAACGAUUUAAUCAACGUCCAAAUGCAGUCUUUUUCCAAGAUAACGAUGUUAUCAUUAACGGAAAUGGUAUCACGAUUACUUGGUCAUCUCCAACACCGCAACAAGUCGACAUUGCAAAUAAAAUAUCAGUAACUUUAAGCCCUGCUGCUAAAUGGCAAAGAGUGGAUGAUCGUCAAGGACCUCGACCUGCUUCUAGAGAAGAUAUUCUUCGCGUCUUAGCCAACAUAAACGCGAUCCUUAUUAGAGCUCAACCAUCGACUGAUACCUCAACUACUUUUAUUAGUGAUAUCACUUUAGAUACGGCUGUUGAAACUGUUACUGGUCAAGAUAAAGCAAUUAAUGUUGAAGAAUGCAGAUGUCCAGUGGGUUACAAAGGAUCAUCUUGCGAAGAUUGUGAUAAAGGUUACUACAGGGAUAGUUCGGAUAGUUCAAUAGGUCCAUUAGGAUCUUGUUUGAAAUGCCCUUGCAAUAAUAACGAAGAAAGUUGCCAAUUAGGAACCGAUAGUAGGGUUCAUUGUACCUGUUUGCAUGGAUAUCAUGGACGUGAUUGUGCAAAUUCAGAUUCUAUUGUAACAACACUUCCACCACCAUACGGAAACAACACUCCAAGUAUCAUCGUUACCAUCAAAGGACCGCAAAUUAAGAUCGUUAGCACAGGAGAUACCGUUACCUAUUAUUGUGAAGCUAAAGCACCUCAAGCUAUAAGAAUACCAACAAUCUCUUGGAGUAGAGCAAUUGGACCAUUACCCGAUCGUGCCAUAGACGACAAUCAAGGAACUCUCAUUAUUACUGAUGUUAGAGUUUCUGAUUCUGGAACUUACAUUUGUCAAGCUAGAGAUGGUUAUACAGUUGCGACUAAUUCCGUUAGUUUAACUGUAGGAGACGCCAUAUCGAAACAUUUAGUAAAUAAGACAGGAAAUAAACCAACAUAUCCAUCAAGUUCAAUUCAACCAGAAAACUUAGAAGUAGCUGAAAACGAUCCGUUCCAAUUAAUUUGUAUGGUUACUGGUGUUCCUCAUCCAAACAUCUACUGGACUCGUGUUAAUGAAGUACCUCUGAAUCCACAGCAUUCAGUAUCUGAUGGAAUCCUCUAUAUUGAAAGAGCACAUAUCGCAGAUAGUGGAGAAUAUAAAUGUACCGCUUCAAACGUUGUUGCUUCCCAUAAUUCCUACGCCACUGUUAAUGUACGACCAUCAUCCACCAACGAAUUAUUACCCGAAAUAUAUCCGUCUUCUCACACUGGACCAGAAAGACAACCAUUUACAUUAAGAUGCGAUAUCAGAGAACCUUACAAUACAAUAUUUUGGAGCAAACACCCAGGAAGAUUACCGCUCAGUGCAAGAGAACAAAGCGGAAAUCUCAUUGUUGAAGAUCCCACAAAAGAUGAUUCUGGAACUUACACUUGUACAAUUAAAACUUACACAGGAAGAACUACAAGUGCAACUGCUACAGUGAAUAUUCUUUCUCAACAUGGCGUUGCACCAAGAGCACAUGUUUCUCCAGUCAAUCAAACUGUUGGGCAAGGAACAACCGUCGAAAUUCAUUGUGACGCAUCCGGUUCGCCUACUCCUGAUGUAAAAUGGACGAGGGUUCAUGAGAAAUUAGGAUACAAUGCACACCAAAUUGGAAACACUUUGCGUAUUGAUAACGUCGAUAUUUCUGAUAGAGGAGUUUACGUUUGCGUUGCAAGUAACGAAUUCGGAUUUAGUAACAACUCUAGUUUCUUGGAAGUCUCUCGUAGAGCUAUACCAAUUAUUGAAAUCCAUCCAAAAGCUCUCCAAGAUAUUCCAGAAGGUGGUAGCGCUUACGUGCAGUGUCGUGUAAUCCAAGGAGAUCCCCAACCUAACAUCACAUGGUCAAGACCAUAUGGACAACCCCUUGGAAGAAAUGUCGAACAAUUACAUAGUGGUGUUUUAAGAUUCUCCAGUAUUAGCGAAUCAGAAAGUGGUGAAUACAUUUGUUCGGCCACUAACGAUGUUGGACAUGUCACAGCUAAAGCCACCAUUCAAGUGAGCACUUUACCAAGAAUUACCAUGUCACCACCUCUUCAAGGCGAACUUGCCGUUAAACAAGGUGAACCAGUCAGAAUUGAAUGUCGAGCUACAGGAAAUCCUAGACCCUACGUGAGUUGGAGAAAACAUGGAGAACGCGAAACAGUAUACUCAACUCGCCUUCAGCCUACUCCUGAUGCUGUAUUAGAUAUUUCACAUGUCUCAGAUGGUGAUGCUGGAAGUUAUAUUUGCACGGCUGAAAAUAGUGCUGGAGUAACAGAAGAAAGAAUUGAAUUAUCUGUUCACCCAUCAAGAGGCGAUAUAACGGGUAGUAGGAGUCGAUAUCCAGGUGAAGAUAGCGGCGGAGAACCUGGCGGCAGAGGCGUAAAAUCCAACGAAAUCUACCCAGACGAAAAUGUCUUCACCGCAUAUGUUAACACCAAAGUAGAAAUGACGUGUCGUCUCGAAAAUGUUCCUUAUCAAGUUAGAACAAAAUGGGUUCGUACCGAUGGUAGACCACUUCCAGAAGGGCAUUACACCACCGACACCAAAUUAAUAAUCAGGGAUGUUGAAGCAUCAGAUGCUGGAGAAUAUCAAUGCAUAACCACGGACAUAAACGGAAAUCAUAUUUUCAACCAAACAGCUCGUCUUCAAGUAUUCGCAGCUCCAAGAGUUGUAUUAGAACCUCCCACCCAAAUUGUGCGUCCACGCGAUAUGGUCAGAAUCUUCUGCAAAGUAACUGGUGAUCAACCCAUCACUAUAGAUUGGCAUCCAGUUGGUAGAAGCAUGCCUCUUAAUAUCUUUAUUAACGGUCCAUAUUUGGAAUUCCAUGGAAUUCAAGUAACUGAUGCUGGAAGAUAUAGAUGUUCUGCCAAAAAUAAUGCUGGCGAGGCCGAUGCUGUUGCUGAAGUGAUUAUAAACGAAGCAGAACAACAACCUCAACAAGGACAUGAUCAAACUGCUAAUGAAGGAGAUUCGGUUGUUUUGCGUUGUGUGGUUACAUCAAGUUCUUAUAAAAAUAUUGAGUGGUAUAGAGAACACGAACAAUUACCGAGCCAUUCGGAGCAACGUGGAAAUGAUUUGGAAAUUAGAAACUUAUCACCAAGAGACGCAGGAAAAUAUUACUGCGUAGUUUAUUACAACGACGGAUCAUCAUCAAGCGAUUAUACCAAUUUAAAUAUAUCACCUUCCGAUCGACGACCAGCAAAUCCUGAAUUAAUCAUCCAAUCCACAAUUGAAAAUCCAAAAGAAGGCGACUCAAUGGACGUUUAUUGCAGAACACACGAAUCUGGAGUUUCUACCAGUUGGUCUAAAGUUAACAGUCAAUUAGAUGAUAAUACACAAACGAGUGGAUCAACUCUUCGGUUUACCAAUUUAAAUCCAGCUAAUAGCGGUAUUUAUCGAUGCGAAGCCAGAGGAUAUUCCGGCCCUUAUAGUAAAGAUUAUGUGUUGGAUAUUCAAGAUUCUUAUAAAGAAGGAAAAUCACCUAUGGAUAUUAAAUCAGCACCACGAGGUUCUACUGUUUAUAUGGAUUGCAAAAUUGAUUUCCAUGGUCCUAUAACUUAUCAUUGGACAAGACAAGAUGGAGAAUUACCCGAAUAUGUUGAUAAAUACAGCAAAACGAUCGUUAUAAAAGACUUGAUAAGUAAUGACGCUGGAACCUAUAUUUGCACCGCCACAGAUGGAAGAAUCACAAAAGUUAUUCCACAAGUUCUUGUUGUAACAGGAAUAGUUCCUUAUUUUACUCAAGCUCCAAACAGCUACAUUAGUUUACCAACUCUUCCAGAUCAUUACACCAGCUUUAAAUAUGAAAUUUCUUUCAAACCAGAAACUGAUUAUGGUUUGAUUUUAUUCAACGGUAGAAAAGGAGCCGAUUAUACCUCUUUAAGCAUUGAUGGUGGUCAUCUUAAAUUUAGACUUAAUCUGGGCAAAGGAAUCAAUAUCGUUAUCGAAUCACCAGAACCUAUCGAAACGCGCCAAUGGCACACAGUUGUUAUAAAUCGUAAUAGAAAAACAGCGGUUAUGUAUGUCGACGGUAAAGGUCCAUACAGCGAAACGGCACAAGCUAGUUAUUCCGGUUUAACAUUAAAAGAUCCUCUUCAUCUCGGCGGUGUUCCUAAUUACAACAUGCUUCCCGACGAUAUUCAAGUUCGAAACGGAUUUGUCGGCUGUAUUAGCCAAUUUAAGGUCGGAACCGUUUAUUACGAUGUUUUAAGAGAAGCUCAUAACAAGGUUGGUGUUACUAAUUGCGAAACGUGCCAAGAAAAUCCUUGCGUCAACCAAGGAGUUUGUCAGGAAAGUCUUUCAAAGAAGGGAUUCACUUGCAUUUGUCCUGAAAGAUUCAGCGGUUCAACUUGUCAAAAAAUGGCUGACCAAUCUUGUAAUCCAUAUAUCUGUGGUAUUGGAAAAUGUGUAGAUAACGAAUACAGUUAUGAAUGUCAUUGCCCAGUUGGUAGAUCUGGAAAACGUUGCGAACGGGAAAUAUUCGUUCAAGAACCAGCUUUCUCUCGAGACGCUUAUUUAGCUUAUCCCCCUCCGAAAUUACACGCCAGACAAUACCGGAUAAACUUGAAAAUAAAACCAAGGGAUUUAGGUGAUGGUGUAUUAGUUUACAGCGCGGAACGAAACGAAGGUUACGGCGAUUUUCUUAGUGUCGCAUUAAAAGAUGCACAAGUCGAAUUUAAAUUUAGAAACGGCGAAAACGGUGUCGUCGUUUUAAGAUCAAACCAAAAAAUCAAUCCGGGCGAUUUCGUCGAUAUAAUAGCCAUAAAAUCAUUAAGAGAUGCCAGAUUGCACGUAAACGGAGCUACCGAAACGAAACGUUUCACCGCGACACCCAGCAAAGCUUUAAAUCUUAACACACCUUUAUAUUUGGGUGGAGUAAACAAAGCCGAAAUUACAAUUAAUAACCAAGUUGAAGUUAACGAUGGAUUUAACGGAUGCAUAUCUGAGUUCUCUAUUUCGGGAAUUGAGAUCGAUAUUAUUAAAUCAUCCACUGAAGCUGCUAACGUUUUGGAUUGUUCUGUAGAGAAAACUGCCGAAUCCGAUAAAACUGAAUAUAGUCAUGAAGGUAGCAUAGGAUGUGAUAGUAAUCCUUGUAGAAAUGAUGGAGUUUGUUAUCCUGAAACAGCCACAACGUUUAAAUGCGCUUGUGUAAAUGGAUAUAGUGGUAUAACUUGUGAACAAGCACCAAAUCAAUGUGAUCAAUUAAGACCAUGCCAAAACGGUGGAACAUGCAGAGGAUCAACGGAAGAUUACGAAUGUACUUGCCCAAUUGGAUUCUAUGGAAUAAAUUGCGAACAACACCAAGAAAUAAGAUCGGAAGCCCAAUUCGAUGGAAAUGGCUAUUUAGAGUUUGACAGAUCGUUUCUUCCACACGAUAAAGAUGACGAAGACGAAUUAAUAGCUGUUCAAUUUAUGACCAAUUACAGUAAUGGGGUUAUCUUUUGGCAUGGGCAAACACCUAACGAAGAUGGACAUGGAAAAGAUUUCAUUGGAUUAGCAAUUGUUGAUGGUUAUUUGGAAUACUCUUAUGAUUUGGGAAGUGGACCUGUUACUAUCGCAAAUAAACAGAUUCGGGUGGAUGAUGAAAGAUUGCACACUGUGUUCUUGAAAAGACAUGGAGUUUCUGGAUCUAUCGAAAUUGAUCAUGCAUAUAUGGAAAGAGGAACUGCACCUGGCAUGGAUACGGAAAUGAGUUGCUUAGGAAAUAUUUAUUUAGGUGGCACUCCAAACGUUCCAUACAUGACUGGAAAAUACAAUCAAGGUUUUAACGGAUGUAUUCUUCAAUUUGAAAUUCAAAAUUCUAAAGGAAUCGAUUUGGGAAAACAUGCCAUAAGUGGAAUUAACGUCAAACCAUGUCCAAGAUUAAGGUGGAUUCCGUCCUCAUUGAUUUUCACCGAUUUACCUGAUCAAUUUGACGUAAUAAUUCCUCCUCCUCCCGUAAAUAUUAUCCAUCCCAAACCAUCAAGUAAAGGUAGUAGUAAUUCAAAUAUUUACAAACCCAUUAAAAUUUCCGAAUGGUUGUAUUGUUUAUUAAUCGUACUAAAUAGUUUACUAAAUAAUGUAUGACUGAGAUGAGCGUUAAAUUUCUUAUGGCAAUAAUUGUUUAGGAUAUCUUCGUUAUACUGAUAUAAAUAAAUAUAUAUAAAUAAGUAUAUAUAUAAAUGAAUAUAAAUUAGAGAGGCAUUUGUAUAUAUAAAGCGUUGUUGAUGUAAAUUCGUGGUUACCUAUUAAAAAGGAAGAAAAUAAGAGUAAUAAAAGUAAAAUUAACGUGUGUAUAAAAAAAAUGUUUUGCUUCUUCAAAAGUUUGUCGUUUAUUUUCAAAUUGUUCAUGGAGCGGUGUUUUUCUUUGCUAGGAUUUAAGUAUUGGCCAGAAAAAAUAGGUACAUAUCAAUGUAGGCUAACUCUACUGUAAAUAAAACGACUUGUAUAGUGUAUUUUUAAAUGGGACCUAAAUAUAUGAAUUGUAACUAUAAACUUAUAUCAACAACUCGAUAUAAAAAAAUAUAUAAUUUAAUAAACUGUAAAGAAAAACAAACUUGUAUAUAAUAUAUCCAGACUGACUGCGUUAUUUAUUAAUUUUAACGGUUUGUUUAUGCUUACUUUAAAAGGAAAAAUAUUAGUCAAAAAGAAAACGACGACGACCUGGUUAAUUAAGAAUCUUGUUACGGAUAAAAAUCACUUCAAGAAAUAGUCAAUGUACCCGUGUUCUUGACAUUGUGUUCAUCUAUUUACUGUAUUUUCUUUUUAAUUAAUUAUCAAACUAACGUUAUA
rnacentral:misc_RNA from 1 species